ensembl:snoRNA
AUUGGUUGAAAAUCACCCCCGGGCUUUGGCCAUGGCUGCAGGCGAGAUUCGAUGCCCAGAGCCUCAGCUCACCACACACUGCCCCGUGUGUGGCGGUGAAACCCAGGCCCCAACGGAU